CUUGUGACACCUUAUUUUAUUUAAUUUUAGUCAUGAUACUUCAUAUUCAUAAAAUAACUUUAAAUUUAAUUUCGUACUUGUGACACCAUGCGGUCCUAUAAAUGGCAUAGACGGCUGGGCGCUUCCACAUGAGCUUAUUUUGAGAGAUUAGGACUCGGGAUUUGAAGCCAUGGGCCAGAGGUUGUUCUGGUGCAGUAUAAUCAUGAUCUCAGGCUAUAGCUCACCCAAGUAAAAGACUUCGAACAUAAAGUGGAGGAGGGUGCUGUCGGAGGCUCCACGGGCCGGUUGAGUCCAUGAGCUUGCUGGUGCGUGAGAAGCACGUACCAUCUUCCAGGCGACGGAGGAGAUGGGGAAGACCACCGAUGGACUCCAGAGACUCUGGCGUACCCAUUGCUGAGGAGCAUGUCUUGAGAGAGAGGAUGACAGUGAGCAGAUUUAAAUCCAAAGAACCAAAUCCAAACUCCAAAGACAUGGUGGAUGAAGGGGGAUAGGCCAAAACAACCCUGUUGGUUGGAGGAAAGCAAGAAGAAAGCAGGAAAAGGGAGAGAUAAAUCCGGUGCAAAGCCGGCUCAGUGGGGGUGGAACCGGUGCAUAGCCAACUUGGUGGUUUGAGAGAAAACUCACACAUUACAUGUUGAUGGUGCAACCCAUACCUGAUUAGAACCUAUCAAAACCCACUAAUAAUGGGUAAAUUUUUUUGGUGGCUAUUAAGUUAUGACACUCUCAAAAGAAAUAUUUAUUCUUUUUGUUUUAGGAGUACUUCCUUUUGUUAUAUAUUAUUGUUAGAUUGUAAUAUUAUAA